rnacentral:lncRNA from 1 species
GGAUACUCCCGAGCACUAAAGUCGACUGCUUAUGAGCUCAGUCGACUAGGAUAUGUAAAGUGAUUUCUGAAAGCUAGGGACAAGUAGGGAGACUGACAACUGGACGGCAUAAGUCUCCAAGAACAAGUCUACCCAAACGUCAAUCAUACUACGUGGUGACUCAUAGUCAAUACAAGAGACCUAGGAUGGGACGUAAAGGUGGUCGAAAUAGUGCUUGGAGAAACAGGGUUGGUAACUAAGGCUGGGCAAAAUGCUUAGCCCACAUCACUUUGAAAAGGCGUGCCAUCUCGACUAAACACAUGUCACUUCACCGUCGACUAUCUGGAUAAUAUGUGAAAAGGUGUCAAUAUGCUAGUCUAUGUAGGUGGCACAUUAAUUGCCAUACUGGGAAAGCCCAAGGCUGCGGAUUCAUUAAGGACCUAUAUAAAGAAGUGGGAACCUCUUGUAUUGGGGGGUCAGACAACUGAAAGAAUGGAGAGUUCAUGUAUUACUCAAGCGCUAUUUUUAGUCUUGAAAUCAAUAUAAUGCAAGCAACACAGUGGAUUUAGCUCAGUUUUGAUAGGUGAACCACUUCAAUAAUUGAGUCUAUUUCAUUUCAGUCCCCAUCCCAAGCCACCAAAAGUUUAGUAUUUUAAUUUGUUAAACUGCAAAUUUUGAGCACUAACAGAUAUCUUUAAGCCACUCAUAUAUAUAUAUAUAUACAAUUUAUCAUGAAGAUCCUAUUUGUCACCAAAACUGUUGAUUGAUUUAACACUUAUGGAUGACUAAAUGAUCUCCAAAUUGAAUGAUUUUUUUGCAGAUAUGAUCUUUAAAUGAUGAUAAAAAGAAUGAAUGGGAGCUCGCAAGGCUCAUAACCUUGAGGUCAUAGGUUCAAAUCUUUUCUCUGCUAAGCAGAUGAGGAGAUUCAACAAAGAACAUAACCGUCCUCUCUGGUUACUUCAACAGGAGACCCUUAUGGUCUGGUUCACAUUCCUUCUUCUUUGAAACCGUUCUGAUUAUGACAGUCGAACGGUAAAAGUUCGUUAAUAAUAAGUGGAGAUAAAUAAGUCGCCCAUAGAGGGACACUCAUCAUCUUAACUUUUUGAGAUUUUAUUGAUAUGUAAUUUUUGAUUGAUAACAUAAUCAAUUUAUAAUAAAUAUGAAUUAUCAAUGUUUAGUUUUACAAUAAUGCUAUUCUUAUCAUAUUUUUGUACCACAAUUGUUAUUACCUUAGGUGGCAUUUGAUGUAGACAGCCACAUCAUCUAAAUUAAUUAGCAUUUAAUUUCAAAAUGUUAAUCAAUAAUUAAUAAAAAGAUUGCAAAUUAAAUGAUGAUUGUGGUAUACGAGGAGUCUCCUUCUUCCACCUAAGAUUAUUUAAGUGUUUUAAUUAAUAAAAAGAUUGAAAUCAAAUGAUGAGUAAGGCUACUCUUACCACAAAUUUAUACCACAUUUUUUUACCAUCAUACCACAUUGUUUUACCAUCUUAGGUGGCAAAUGAGUUGGACAAGCUACAUCAUUUAAUUUCAAUCUUUUUUAUUAAUUAAAACACUUAAAUAAUCUUAGGUGGCAGAAGAAGACUCUUCGUAUACCACAAUCCUCAUUUAAUUCGCAAUCUUUUUAUUAAUUAUUGAUUAACAUUUUGAAAUUAAAUGCUAAUUAAUUUAGAUGAUGUGGCUAUCUACAUCAAAUGCCACCUAAGGUGGUAACAAUUGUGGUACAAAAAUAUGGUAAGAAUAACAUUAUUGUAAAACUAAACAUUGAUAAUUCAUAUUUAUUAUAAAUUGAUUAUGUUAUCAAUAAAAAAUUACAUAACAAUAAAAUCUCAAAAAGUUAAGAUGAUGAGUGUCCCUCUAUGGGCGACUUAUUUAUCUCCACUUAUUAUUAACAAACUUUUAUCGUUCGACUGUCAUAAUCGGAACGGUUUCAAAGAAGAAGGAAUGUGAACCAGACCAUAAGGGUCUCUUGUCGAAGUCAACCAGAGAGGACGGGUAUUCAAUCUUUUUAUUAAUUAUUGAUUAACAUUUUGAAAUUAAAUGCUAAUUAAUUUAGAUGAUGUGGCUAUCCACAUCAGAUGCCAAUUAAGAUGGUAUGCAAUUGUAGUACAAAAAUAGGGUAAGAAUAGCAUUAUUGUUAAAUGAUGUAGCUUGUCCAACUCAUCUGCCAUCUAAGAUGGUAAAGAAAUGUGGUAUAAAAUUGUGGUAAGAAUAGCAUUUACUCUUAGUUUUAAGGGAACUUUA